UCAGAUAUAGAUUACGACAAUUUGCUCAGGUACAUUUUUGGCUUGCCAAACCAUAGUAUAAUCUAUGACCACGGCCGUACCAACCAUAGUGGUCCUAUAAGAUAUUCUAUGGUCACGAUAGUACUUAACCAAAGGUGACCCCUAACAGAUAUUCGUGUCACCAUUCUCGUUAGAGAGUACGCCGUAAUCCAAAAAGAGCAGUCCU
rnacentral:lncRNA from 1 species